rnacentral:rRNA from 2 species
GAUGGAGCAACACCGCGUGAGUGAAGAAGGGUUUCGGCUCGUAAAACUCUGUUGUUGGAGAAGAACGUGCGUAAGAGUAACUGUUUACGCAGCGACGGUAUCCAACCAGAAAGUCACGGCUAACUACGUGCCAGCAGCCGCGGUAAUACGUAGGUGGCAAGCGUUAUCCGGAUUUAUUGGGCGUAAAGCGAGCGCAGGCGGUUGCUUAGGUCUGAUGUGAAAGCCUUCGGCUUAACCGAAGAAGUGCAUCGGAAACCGGGCGACUUGAGUGCAGAAGAGGACAGUGGAACUCCAUGUGUAGCGGUGGAAUGCGUAGAUAUAUGGAAGAACACCAGUGGCGAAGGCGGCUGUCUGGUCUGCAACUGACGCUGAGGCUCGAAAGCAUGGGUAGCGAACAGGAUUAGAUACCCUGGUAGUCCAUGCCGUAAACGAUGAGUGCUAGGUGUUGGAGGGUUUCCGCCCUUCAGUGCCGAAGCUAACGCAUUAAGCACUCCGCCUGGGGAGUACGACCGCAAGGUUGAAACUCAAAGGAAUGGACGGGGGCCCGCACAAGCGGUGGAGCAUGUGGUUUAAUUCGAAGCUACGCGAAGAACCUUACCAGGUCUUGACAUCUUGCGCCAACCUCAGAGAUGA